rnacentral:rRNA from 1 species
CGCAUCAUUCCUCCCGAGUGCUUGCACUCAUUUGGAAAGAGGAGUGGCGGACGGGUGAGGAACACGUGGGUAACCUACCCAUCAGAGGGGGAUAACACUUGGAAAGAGGUGCUAAUACCGCAUAACAGUUUAUGCCGCAUGGCAUAAGAGUGAAAGGCGCUUUCGUGUGUCGCUGAUGGAUGGACCCGCGGUGCAUUAGCUAGUUGGUGAGGUAACGGCUCACCAACGCCACGAUGCAUA